UCCACUUUGAUGCUUUGCUUUGUUAUUAUUCGUUGAAAAUCUUUUAUCUGUUUGUAAACAUUCAAGUCGAUUAUGUCUUACAUAUGGUGAUAGUCGAUUAUUUGGAGUCGGCUUUCUGCUGCAGAAAACCACCGGUUUGUGAAUUUUCAUACAUGUUUUUAUAGCAGCGUUUUUGCAAAUAUAACAGAGACCACCUUACAUACAAUACAUAAACUACAGUUAGACUUCACAGACGAGCAAUUGCUGCGGAAGGUGUGUGUUGAAGAGCUAGGUGGCCCAACUAUUGUGGUUUUUAGAAAGGAAAGCUCGUAUGCGCGUAUUUCUACCAUUGUCUCAUGUGGUGCUACGGACAAUUUCAUAGGAGACAUGGAGCGUGUUGUGUAUGAUGGUGCAAAUUCCUGUUUAACAUGUGACGGUUAUUAUGUGCCUAGUACUGCUACCUCUGAAAUGAAUUUGACUUCCGAACUGGCUGUCCACGUCGAUACCUUACCCCGUCUAGAACAGUUUUCUGUACGUAGAUGUAUGCGCAACACCUACACGAGCAAGUCCUCGCGCUUUAAGUCUACAAUUACAGAUAAGUUGUAAUGAUAUAUUUGUGAGUUAUUUUUAAGUUUUUGGUUUACAGGUUUUUGAUUUCUGCCUGAAGUAAGUGCAGCGUUCCAACACUUAUACGAGCAAGUGCACCCACAUUCCUCAUAUUUCCACUCCGAUUCAUUACUGAGACACGUGGUAUUGAUAUACGUAAAUUUACAAACCAUCAUAAUUACUAAAAGUGGAUUAUAUUACCAAUAUCUAAAA